rnacentral:rRNA from 1 species
GGAGUACGGCCGCAAGGUUAAAACUCAGAGGAAAUUGACGGGGGCCCGCACAAGCGGUGGAAGCAUGUGGUUAAUUCGAUGCACCGCGAAGAGCCUUACCUACCCUUGACAUCCUAGGGAUUUUGUAGAGAUAUGAAGAGUGCCUUCGGGGACUUAGAGACAGGUGCCUGCAUGGCUGUCGUCAGCUCGUGUCGUGAGAUGUUGGGUUAAGUCCCGUAACGAGCGCAACCCUUGUCCUUAAUUGCUAGCAGGUAGAGCUGAGAACUUUAAGGAGACUGCCGGUGAUAAACCGGAGGAAGGUGGGGAUGACGUCAAGUCCUCAUGGCCCUUAUGGGUAGGGCUACACACGUGCUACAAUGGGCAGUACAGACGGUAGCGAAGCUGCGAAGUGGAGCUAAUCUGAAAAAGCUGUUCUUAGUCCGGAUUGGAGUCUGCAACUCGACUCCAUGAAGUUGGAAUCGCUAGUAAUCGCGGAUCAGAACGCCGCGGUGAAUACGUUCUCGGGCCUUGUACACACCGCCCGUCACACCAUGGGAGUGGGUUGUACCAGAAGUGGGUAGACUAACCUUCGGGGGGUCGCUUACCACGGUAUGAUUCAUGACUGGGGUGAAGUCGUAACAAGGUAGCCGU